AAAAAAAAAAAAAAAAAAAAAUAGCCACUCAAGCUAUUGCUCGAGUGGGCUGUGUGUGAUUUACUGAUUAGUGUGCACGUAUCCGCUUACUAAUGUCGCACACUGUGCUGAUAAAAUUAAAAAAAAAAAAGAUUCUUUGUGGGGAUUUUUCUCUUAUUCUUUUCUUUGUUUAAUAACCCUUCGGAUUGGCAAAAUUCUUAAAAGUUUUCAUCAAAUAAACAAGUUGACAAAUGAGAUCAAAAACAUACAAAUAUAUAUACACAGACGGGUAUAUGUAUAUACAUAUCUCAAGUGUUUACACUGAGAGAAACGAAAUUACAAAUGUUGUAUGAGCGUUGAAAUGUCAAAAAUUUAUAUCUUACAGUUACUGCCAGUCGCCAGCUUCAGUAUGGAUUGGUUGGUGCUAAUUAAAUGGCCGCCACUGUGUGCGCCUACACUACGCUCCAUAAAAAAGCGAACGACUCAGAGACAGAGUUGUGUUUGUUGUAAGCGGUUGUAAUAUUGAUAUUUAACAAUUAGUUAUUGUUGGUGUUGGUUUCUUGCUUUUGUUUACGUUUCGUCAUACAUCAUACAUUGUUUGUACAUCGUACAUCAUACAUAAAUAAAUACUUAUAAAUAGUUUGCUUGGUUUCCUUGUUUACCGUCAUGUCUUACAUAGUUUUCGUGUUUUCAUUUGGUAUUCGAAUGCAAAUUCAUAUACAAUACAUAUA